rnacentral:rRNA from 1 species
AGGACGAACGCUGGCGGCGUGCCUAACACAUGCAAGUCGAGCGAGGAGAUUCCUCGGGAUGAUCCUAGCGGCGGACGGGUGAGUAACACGUGGGCAACCUGCCUCAUAGAGAGGAAUAGCCUUCCGAAAGGGAGAUUAAUACCUCAUAACAUUGCAGUUUCGCAUGGAACAGCAAUUAAAGGAGUAAUCCGCUAUGAGAUGGGCCCCGCGGCGCAUUAGCUAGUUGGUGAGGUAACGGCUCACCAAGGCGACGAUGCGUAGCCGACCUGAGAGGGUGAUCGGCCACAUUGGGACUGAGACACGGCCCAGACUCCUACGGGAGGCAGCAGUGGGGAAUAUUGCACAAUGGGGGAAACCCUGAUGCAAGCAACGCCGCGUGAGUGAUGACGGCCUUCGGGUUGUAAAGCUCUGUCUUCAGGGACGAUAAUGACGGUACCUGAGGAGGAAGCCACGGCUAACUACGUGCCAGCAGCGGC